rnacentral:rRNA from 1 species
CUCCUACGGGAGGCAGCAGUGGGGAAUUUUAGACAAUGGGCGCAAGCCUGAUCUAGCCAUGCCGCGUGAGUGAUGAAGGCCUUAGGGUUGUAAAGCUCUUUCGCCAGGGAUGAUAAUGACAGUACCUGGUAAAGAAACCCCGGCUAACUCCGUGCCAGCAGCCGCGGUAAUACGGAGGGGGUUAGCGUUGUUCGGAAUUACUGGGCGUAAAGCGCGCGUAGGCGGAUUGGAAAGUUGGGGGUGAAAUCCCGGGGCUCAACCCCGGAACUGCCUCCAAAACUCCCAGUCUUGAGUUCGAGAGAGGUGAGUGGAAUUGCGAGUGUAGAGGUGAAAUUCGUAGAUAUUCGCAGGAACACCAGUGGCGAAGGCGGCUCACUGGCUCGAUACUGACGCUGAGGUGCGAAAGUGUGGGGAGCAAACAGGAUUAGAUACCCUGGUAGUCCACCCCGUAAACGAUGAAUGCCAGUCGUCGGGUAGCAUGCUAUUCGGUGACACACCUAACGGA